AACGCUAGCUACAGGCUUAACACAUGCAAGUCGAGGGGCAGCAUGAACUUAGCUUGCUAAGUUUGAUGGCGACCGGCGCACGGGUGAGUAACACGUAUCCAACCUGCCGAUGACUCGGGGAUAGCCUUUCGAAAGAAAGAUUAAUACCCGAUGGCAUAGUUCUUCCGCAUGGUAGAACUAUUAAAGAAUUUCGGUCAUCGAUGGGGAUGCGUUCCAUUAGGUUGUUGGCGGGGUAACGGCCCACCAAGCCUUCGAUGGAUAGGGGUUCUGAGAGGAAGGUCCCCCACAUUGGAACUGAGACACGGUCCAAACUCCUACGGGAGGCAGCAGUGAGGAAUAUUGGUCAAUGGACGAGAGUCUGAACCAGCCAAGUAGCGUGAAGGAUGACUGCCCUAUGGGUUAUAAACUUCUUUUAUACGGGAAUAAAGUGAGGCACGUGUGCCUUUUUGUAUGUACCGUAUGAAUAAGGAUCGGCUAACUCCGUGCCAGCAGCCGCGGUAAUACGGAGGAUCCGAGCGUUAUCCGGAUUUAUUGGGUUUAAAGGGAGCGUAGGCGGACGCUUAAGUCAGUUGUGAAAGUUUGCGGCUCAACCGUAAAAUUGCAGUUGAUACUGGGUGUCUUGAGUACAGUAGAGGCAGGCGGAAUUCGUGGUGUAGCGGUGAAAUGCUUAGAUAUCACGAAGAACUCCGAUUG
rnacentral:rRNA from 1 species